UGUGAGUGGUUCGAUUUUUAGGUUAUAUUCCCGUAAAUAAAACAACUUUCCUUAUUUUCUAAUCAGGUGGUGGUUUAUUAAUACAUAAAACCAAAGGUUUUCCCUUCACAUCCUUCAUAAAAAAUUAAAAAAAAUAAAAAUACCGAACAUUCUCCUCACGUGUGAAAGUCAAAGCUACGAUAACACCAAGCCAACACUGACAUUGGCAAAUUCACCCUGUGCAAAUUGGCAGGGAGUAAAAGCCAAAG